rnacentral:rRNA from 1 species
UACGGAGGAUGCAAGCGUUAUCCGGAAUCAUUGGGCGUAAAGCGUCCGCAGGCGGCAGUUCAAGUCUGCUGUCAAAGACUGGGGCUUAACCCUAGAAAGGCAGUGGAAACUGAACAGCUAGAGUGCGGUAGGGGUAGAGGGAAUUCCCGGUGUAGCGGUGAAAUGCGUAGAGAUCGGGAAGAGCACCAGUGGCGAAAGCGCUCUGCUGGACUGAACCUGACGCUGAAACGCGAAAGCUAGGGUAGCGAACGGG